rnacentral:lncRNA from 1 species
GAAGUGGUUUGGGAAACCUUUGAAAGAUUCAUUGUACUACAAAAAGGAACAGACUUUCUGGGGUCUGAAGGGAUUUGUACUUGAAGAUACUCCAGUCAGCAGAGGGUCAUGUUGAGCAUUCUGCAGACAGAAUUGUUUCAAGUCUGCAGCUGCCUGGGAAACUUUUACGCUGUUGAGCCCGGCCUCCAGCUGGAGCUGUUGAACCACUUUCUUCGUAGCGGCGACGCUGGAGAAGCCAGACAUGGUGAACGCGGGGGCCGGGCCGAUUCGUGGGUCGGUGGGUCGUGGGCCGUGGGUCGGCGGGGCCGCUAAAUAUCAUUUUUAAGAUGCUAUUAGAAGGGCUCAGGAAUACCAGCAUUCCUAUACAUUGAUGAUACAAACUUUAUAGCAGGCAAUGUGUGUAUUGGUACCUGACAUAUAGUAUUCCCUCAGUAAAUAUUUCUUCAAUGAAUGAAUAAUUUUGUUGCUGACAUUAAAAUAAAUUUUCAGACAUUUUGACAAUGUGCCUUGGCACAAUGCUCUGAAUUCAUAAAAACUGCCACUGAAUCUUACUAUUGUUGGCUCCCAACCUUGUGGAAGUUUAUAAUGCCCUGCUAUUGUUAGCUUGCUUUCAUGCCAUCUUUCCCCUUUCUUCGAAAUGCUGUAUGGCAUAUAUAUUUUUAAUUAAAGUGCCUCAUGUAUAAUUUUGUUUUGAGAUAUUUUCAAAAAAACUCAUGGUGAACCUCAGGAUAAUUGUAGCCACCUUAGAGGGUUGCAGAUUUUGGGCUGGGAAGCAGCCCAUCUUGGCAGCCAUCUGUGUGAUGCUUUUCAAUUGUUAGUUCUUCGCUAAUUCUGUAAUGUAUUCUUCUCACAAUGUGAACAGAUCUUUUCUGUCAAUAAGGAAAGCAUAAUUUUGUUAAUGAUAGGUAAGCACCUUAUUAUCUGUAUUUGGCAGGCUUAGACAUAUUGCUGUCUUUUGGAGAAAAACAGCUGUUUCCAGAUGUUAUUAAAGCAGGCAUUACCACUGACAAAGCUUUCUCACAAAGUAUCUUACAACAGUUCUGUGUGCUGUCAGAGCUGCUUGUAACAAAAAUUCUGUGGGAGUUAGGGCCCUGUACUUUCUAAUUGCUAAGUGCUUUGAUUACAACCUCCUGCUCAGAUAUUACAGUGAGUGACAUUUCCAUCUAUACACAUGAUUCCAUCUAUACAGAUUUUCUUCUCUUAUAAUCACAUGGCUUCAGUGUUAUGACACUUCUGAUCUUUGUGAAUACUUGCCCAGAAUUCUGACACUUCCAUUAGUAGCACACAGACAGUUUGGACCUGUUGGAAAUUGACACAAUGUAUUUUGCUUAUUCUGGAAGCAUUAAUUUUAAUUUCUCUUUUGUGAAUUUAUGUAUGUAAACGUAAUCAUCUGACUACAUGGUUACCUUUUUUUGGCAUUUCUCAAUUAUUUUGGCCCAUUUCUCAUCCAAAAGAAUUAUUAUUAUAGCAACUUCUCAGUACAAAAGAUUAAUUAUUGUAGUAACUUCAGUGCUCUUUUUCCACCAGAUCAACAGUUACUUUGUAUUUAAUAAGCUUUUCAAGGCUUUUGUUGAACUUACUGAUUUCGACUUCAGUCUUCUUUUUCAUUUAUUCUUUCAACACUAGAACCCACCAGGAAAAAUUAUUUAAAAGCUGGUAAUAAUUUAGAUGACUUGUUUUUCCUUCUGACCUAUCUAAAGAAGUCUCUUUUUGACUAAGUACUUAGCUUUCCAUUCUGUCCCUAUAACCUAGAAUUCAACAAAACACUCACGAUCCAUGCAAACUAUGAAUUUGCUUUAAACUACACAUUUACAUACUACAUUGUUAAACACAGGCUUUGAGAGAAAAAGCACACUGCAACUAGAGACUUAUGAUAUUAUCUUGAGAGCAAUUAUUAAAGAUUUUUAAAAAGUAAACCAGUGAUACUUCCAUCUCUUGGGUUAUUGUAUUGCUAUUAAGAAGAAUGAGGUAGAUUUUUAUUCAAAUGGAAAGAUAUCAAAAAUAUACUGUCGAGUAAAAUUAGAAAAUCACAAAACAAUAUAUAAUAUGGUAUAAUUUAUGUAGAAAUAUAUAUGUAUGUGUAUGUGUUCUUAUGUAUAAUUCACAUUUAUGUAUAUGCAUAGAAAAAGGUCUGGAUGGAUAUAAGUCAAAUUCUUUUCCUUGUUGCUAACCCUAAGAAAGGGGAAGUAAAAUGGGCAGGGAAAUGCAUAUG